CUCUCCAGUGUUCCUCCUGCCUGUCUCUCCUCCUCCUGCUUUCACCUAGCAGUUCCCCAGUCCCUGCUCUCCUCCUCCCAUCCUGCCCCUCCUCUCUGCUUAUCUAGCGUCUGUUCUUCUUUACUCUCCUCCCAUCCUUCCCUGUCUUUAUCAGGCUCUGAUCGCUCUUCCUUGGGCUCUCUCUCUGCCCCCUGUCAGGUCCUGUUUACUCGUCCUCGGGUUACAAGAAGGCAGACGAUGAGAUGUCCGGAGCAACGUCCAGUGCUGACCUGGGGGACACAGCUACCCGCAUCAUCCUUCUCAACCUGCCCCAGACCUGCAAGUUCAGGGACAACAGAGUCAG